AUGGGGUUUCUCGAGGUGGAGCAUCAGAGGCAAGGAACACAGGGCGGAAGGAUUUUGAGGGGAGUCUUGAGGGUUCCAAUCACAGAACUGUUUGUCAGUUAUUGCAGAGCUGCCUGCACCAUGUCCUGGGCUGUCCUCCUCCUCAUUCUCAGCUCGUAUUGCUCAUGUUCUGCGGCUCAGUUUGUGGUCACUCAGGAAGCUGCAAUAUCUGGGUCCAUUGGUAAUGAUGGCCGUCUGACCUGUGGGCGCAGUGGAGGCUCAGUGACUGGGGGUAACUACCCAUCAUGGUACUAUCAGACACCCGGGGGUGUCCCUAAACUUGUAGUUUACAGUACUAGCAGCAACCAAAACAAUAGACCCUCAUUGACCUCAGAUCGGUUCACCGGAUCUAUAUCAGGGGGUUUGGCUGUCCUGUCCAUUAACAGAUUGCAGGCUGAUGAUGAUGGAGACUAUCACUGCCUUCUCUAUGCUGGUGGUAAUGCACCGUACACUGUGACACAAACUGGUAGAAAACAAAGUCACAAUCCAAGCCUGCAACUCUCAAACUGAACAGCAGAGGGCAACUGUUUGUAUAAAAUGAAUCCAGAUUUAACAUUUCUAAUCUCUAAUAAAAUAUUCUAUCCCAAUUUGAAUGUAUCCAUAAUACAGUUAUGUUAUAUUUUAUUGU